AUACGUAGGGAGCGAGCGUUGUCCGGAAUUACUGGGCGUAAAGGGCGCGUAGGCGGCGCUUCAAGUCGUCUGUCAAAUGGGAGGGCUUAACCCUUUUUCGCAGACGAAACUGGAGAGCUUGAGAAGCAGAGAGGCAAACAGAAUUCCUGGUGUAGCGGUGAAAUGCGUAGAUAUCAGGAAGAAUACCAGUGGCGAAGGCGGGUGGCUGGCUGCAUACUGACGCUGAAGCGCGAAAGCCAGGGGAGCAAACGGGAUUAGAUACCCCGGUAGUCCUGGCAGUAAACGAUGUAUGCUGGAUGUGAGACUAGCGAUAGUUUCGUGCCGAAGUUAACGCGAUAAGCAUACCGCCUGGGGAGUACGGUCGCAAGAUUGAAACUCAAAGGAAUUGACGGGG
rnacentral:rRNA from 1 species